rnacentral:rRNA from 1 species
AGCGAACGCUGGCGGCAGGCCUAACACAUGCAAGUCGAACGAGGUCUUCGGACUUAGUGGCGGACGGGUGAGUAACACGUGGGAACGUGCCUCUAGGUUCGGAAUAACUCAGGGAAACUUGUGCUAAUACCGAAUGUGCCCUUCGGGGGAAAGAUUUAUCGCCUUUAGAGCGGCCCGCGUCUGAUUAGCUAGUUGGUGAGGUAAAGGCUCACCAAGGCGACGAUCAGUAGCUGGUCUGAGAGGAUGAUCAGCCACAUUGGGACUGAGACACGGCCCAAACUCCUACGGGAGGCAGCAGUGGGGAAUCUUGCGCAAUGGGCGAAAGCCUGACGCAGCCAUGCCGCGUGAAUGAUGAAGGUCUUAGGAUUGUAAAAUUCUUUCACCGGGGACGAUAAUGACGGUACCCGGAGAAGAAGCCCCGGCUAACUUCGUGCCAGCAGCCGCCGUAACAC